CAGGUUUGAGUUGGAUAAUGGAUUGACCUAAGUCUGAAGUACUGCAGAUGUGAAUUAGGAUCACUGUGUGUGAUUUAUUUCUGCUUCUUCAAUGAAUGAUAAAAAACAUAUUUUUCUGUAUGUAUUUCUCCAUUUACAGUGUAGGACUUCAUGAAUGAAUUGUCAGAUCAGGUUCAGAGAAAUCAUGUGAUCUGAUGACACAAAGAAUGAGCUCUGUCCCAUGCAGGUCCAAGAGAAGGCAGCUGUGAUGGCACUCUGGUGCAUGGAAGCCAUGGAGAUGUGGGGCUCUGCACAAGGAAAUCUGCAUGCUGAAUGGAAGGAAUAAGAUAAUUAAAAAUGGCUAAUAUUCCCACAAGUACAAAGCCACAGCGAUGUACUUUCAUCUCCUUCUGAGGGCUUCAUGUCAUUUUAAAAAUAAGAAAACCUCCCCCAGCUGGAUCAAGUGUUUACUGCAGGAAAAAAAAAAAUUAAAUAUAUAUCCAUAACUGUAAAAGAAUGUCUCCCAGUCCAAAGGCUGUCUGAAGAUUCCUGUCAAAGAUCAAAGGACUGUGCAAGGGGCCAGGCAUAUAUGGGAAUCUAUGUGCAGUUUAUGCUCUCUGCUGGAUAAGAAAUGCUGUGAGCCAAGUUACAAAGAAAUUAGAAAUUCACUUUUGAUUGUGUUAACCUGGUUUGUACCUCCUAUAUCAUCAUCUUACCUUUGCUUUGAAUUGAAAGUGGCAAGGACUACAGGUAGAAAAAUAAUAUUAGAGAAUUGUUAAAAUGAACAAUUAUCCACUAGAGGCAUCCAUUUCAGUGACCUAGGAAUUGCCAUGAAGACUCAAAAAACAUGUAUCACCAUAUUUCCAAAAAAAAACCCCACCCUACCUCUGGUCAGAGUCGUGUACCAAGAUAAGGGCAAAGGUUAAGCCAGGAUAGUUCAGCAUCAGCAACUGUCCUUUCUGGCUUUAUGGAAGAGGGAGGAAAGGAGGUUUGGGGGAAAGUGGAACAGUGGUUUUAAUACAGACAAUUUGGCAUUGGAGGCAAGGCAGAAGGCAACAAGCUGCCUAGCUGAGGGAUGAGGGUCCUGGGGUUGGAGGAUGCUGCAGUCUGACAGGGAGGCUGCAGGAAACCUGGCAGAAGGUUGUGCUUGAGAAGAGGAGAA